rnacentral:rRNA from 1 species
ACUCAAAUGAAUUGACGGGGACCCGCACAAGCAGCGGAGCGUGUGGUUUAAUUCGAUGCGACGCGAAGAACCUUACCAAGGCUUGACAUGCACUCGCAAACCUCCGAAAAGAGGUCCUCCUUCGGGACGGGUGCACAGAUGUUGCAUGGCUGUCGUCAGCUCGUGUCGUGAGAUGUUGGGUUAAGUCCCGCAACGAGCGCAACCCUCGUCCUUAGUUGUCUAUCUAGGGAGACCGCCGGAAACAAACCGGAGGAAGGUGGGGAUGACGUCAAGUCAGCAUGACUCUUACGUCUUGGGCUACACACACGCUACAAUGGCCGUUACAGCGAGAAGCCAGCCCGCGAGGGUGAGCAGACCUCUGAAAGGCGGCCCCAGUUCAGAUUGCACUCUGCAACCCGAGUGCAUGAAGGCGGAGUUGCUAGUAACCGCGUGUCAGCAUAGCGCGGUGAAUAUGUUCCCGGGUCUUGUACACACCGCCCGU